rnacentral:rRNA from 1 species
AGUCGAGGGGCAGCAUGAUUUGUAGCAAUACAGAUUGAUGGCGACCGGCGCACGGGUGAGUAACGCGUAUGCAACUUACCUAUCAGAGGGGGAUAGCCCGGCGAAAGUCGGAUUAAUACCCCAUAAAACAGGGGUCCCGCAUGGGAAUAUUUGUUAAAGAUUCAUCGCUGAUAGAUAGGCAUGCGUUCCAUUAGGCAGUUGGCGGGGUAACGGCCCACCAAACCGACGAUGGAUAGGGGUUCUGAGAGGAAGGUCCCCCACAUUGGUACUGAGACACGGACCAAACUCCUACGGGAGGCAGCAGUGAGGAAUAUUGGUCAAUGGCCGAGAGGCUGAACCAGCCAAGUCGCGUGAAGGAAGAAGGAUCUAUGGUUUGUAAACUUCUUUUAUAGGGGAAUAAAGUGGAGGACGUGUCCUUUUUUGUAUGUACCCUAUGAAUAAGCAUCGGCUAACUCCGUGCCAGCAGCCGCGGUAAUACGGAGGAUGCGAGCGUUAUCCGGAUUUAUUGGGUUUAAAGGGUGCGUAGGUGGUGAUUUAAGUCAGCGGUGAAAGUUUGUGGCUCAACCAUAAAAUUGCCGUUGAAACUGGGUUACUUGAGUGUGUUUGAGGUAGGCGGAAUGCGUGGUGUAGCGGUGAAAUGCAUAGAUAUCACGCAGAACUCCGAUUGCGAAGGCAGCUUACUAAACCAUA